rnacentral:rRNA from 1 species
UACGAAGGGUGCAAGCGUUACUCGGAAUUACUGGGCGUAAAGCGUGCGUAGGUGGUGCGUUUAAGUCUGUCGUGAAAGCACCCGGCUCAACCGGGCUGUGGCGGGUGAAACCGCGCGACUGAGGGUGGGAGAGGUCGGUGGAAUUCCCGGUGUAGUGGUGAAAUGCGUAGAGAUCGGGAGGAACACCCGUAGCGAAGGCGGCCGACUGGACCACACCUGACGCUGAGGGCGCGAAAGGCCA